rnacentral:rRNA from 1 species
AUACGGAGGAUGCGAGCGUUAUCCGGAUUUAUUGGGUUUAAAGGGUGCGUAGGCGGAAAGUUAAGUCAGCGGUGAAACGCAGGUGCUCGACACCUGACCUGCCGUUGAGACUGGUUUUCUAGAAUGCGGAUGCUGUGGGAGGAAUGUGUGGUGUAGCGGUGAAAUGCAUAGAUAUCACACAGAACACCGAUUGCGAAGGCAUCUCACAAAUCCGCGAUUGACGCUGAGGCACGAAGGUGCGGGGAUCGAACAGGAUUAGAUACCCUGGUAGUCCGCACAGUAAACGAUGAUAACUCGCUGUCGGCGAUAGACAGUCGGUGGCCAAGCGAAAGCGAUAAGUUAUCCACCUGGGGAGUACGACCGCAAGGUUGAAACUUAAAGGAAUUGACGGGG